UACAGGGGGUGCAAACGUUGCUCGGAAUCAUUGGGCGUAAAGCGCACGUAGGCGGUUCGUUAUGUCGGAUGUGAAAGCCCUUGGCUUAACCGAGGAAGUGCAUCCGAAACUGGCGAGCUAGAGUACUAAAGAGGAUCGCGGAAUUCCCGGUGUAGAGGUGAAAUUCGUAGAUAUCGGGAGGAACACCAGUGGCGAAGGCGGUUGCCUGGAGCUUUGCUGACGCUGAGGCGCGAAAGCGUGGGGAGCGAUCCGG
rnacentral:rRNA from 1 species